rnacentral:rRNA from 1 species
CCUACGGGAGGCAGCAGUGAGGAAUAUUGGUCAAUGGACGAGAGUCUGAACCAGCCAAGUAGCGUGAAGGAUGACUGCCCUAUGGGUUGUAAACUUCUUUUAUAAAGGAAUAAAACGAGGCACGUGUGCCUUUUUGCAUGUACUUUAUGAAUAAGGAUCGGCUAACUCCGUGCCAGCAGCCGCGGUAAUACGGAGGAUCCGAGCGUUAUCCGGAUUUAUUGGGUUUAAAGGGAGCGUAGAUGGGUUGUUAAGUCAGUUGUGAAAGUUUGCGGCUAAACCGUAAAAUUGCAAUUGAUACUGGCAGUCGUGAGUACAGUUGAGGUAGGCGGAAUUCGUGGUGUAGCGGUGAAAUGCUUAGAUAUCACGAAGAACCCCGAUUGCGAAGGCAGCUUACUAAACUGUGACUGACAUUGAUGCUCGAAAGUGUGGGUAUCAAACAGGAUUAGAUACCCUUGUAGUC